UAUUGGUUAAUAGCCACACAAAUUUUGAAUAUAAAAAGAUCACAUCCUACUAUGGAUCCAACCAAGAUAUUUUAAUUGAUUCAGGAACAACAAAGAACAUUAUACGGUAUUUGAAGUAAAACCAAAUCAUCGUAACAAAUGAAAUAUGCUGGGAAAACGAGAAGCUACAUUACUAUCCCUUACUCCUUGCAUUCGGUUCAGAUGAGAUAAAGCGAAUAGGCUGAAUGAUGGCUUGGCUAAACGAUAGUGUACCAUAUCAGAUGAUAAAAAUAAUACGAUUACACGGAUCAUUGGUUAUGGAUCAAACUAAAUGCUUCUGGAAACACACAAUAAAAAAACGAGAAAGAACGUCUGAGUCGCUUCUGAGGACGCGACUCUACUUUUAUACCCGUACUCAGU